CACAAGGGGGAGACAGGCAUUUGUGAGCUCUGGUUGGUGAUGUACUUUGACAUUGGUGCUACUUCCUCAUUCUGAGCGAAGCUGUCCACGAACCAGUCUCAUCAUUUGUAAUGUUUUGCAGGAUACUGUUAUCUGUUGACGUGGUCCUAAUUCGGGACCUGUUACACUACCAACUCCCACCUGACACUAUAGAAACAUAUACACAUUUCUCGGGAGCAGCAAAUGCAGGGUCAACCACAGUGCAACGCUCCAGGAGAGGUUGAGGGGUUAAGUGCCUCGAUCAAGGACACAACAUUAGGGAAUUGUAGCUGUGACCUGAAACCAGCAGUCUUCCAGUUGUCAGUUUAGUUCCAGAUUUUCAUCACCAGAACCGAGACUUGAAUCAAUGACUUUCUGAGCUACGUAUUGUUUCCUUGUAUCAGGCUUUACAAUCAGAUAAGUGAAGUAAUAUGUAAUUGCAAUGGAUUUAAUGGAAUAUGGAUUCAUUUGCUGAUAUGAUCAUACUGUCAAUGAGAGUAAUGGACUCUCUUGCUUGGAUAAAAAUAAAAUAAACAAUAACAAAUGCAAAAGUU